CGUCACUUCCGGCGGGCAAGACGCGGAAGGAAAGGAUUGUGGCUGGAGGUGUUCGCCACUGGGCGGGCGGGAGAGUGCGGGGCUGGAGGGCGGAAGCCUGAGGUUCUUUCGAGAAACGCGAGGAGCACGGUGUGGCUGAAUCUUCCCGGAAAAGAGGCCGCGCGCGGACCUUGGCCCGCGCCGCCGUUCCCAGAGGUUUCCCUGCGUCCUCCGGCCGGACCCCGGUGACCUCGUGCGAGGAGCAGGGCUGGGCUGCGGGCUCCGCGCGCUUCAGUUUUUAAAGUCAGUUUGGGACGCUUCUUGCAGACUGAAUCGUCAAGAGAAAAUGGUUCUUGGGACGAUGCCUCCACCUUCCAGUCUGAUCGGUGGCAGCUUUACUCUAUUUGCUAUCAAGUGGGAGGACCGGUGGACUCGGGGUUGCUUGUCCCUGAGCCACCCCGGGGAGUGGAGUCCUCAGAGUCUGUCUCAGGAUGUAGCAGGAGUUUCACAAGUGAAAGGACACUGAAGAAGAAGGAUGCAGCUUUUGGAAAAGAGAGAAAGAGCUGCUUGAGUUCCAGAACCAAGACCAGAACCCCUGAUACCUGUUCUUUCCACCAUAUCGUACAGCCUUAUUCACCUGAGCAUCUUGAAGUGUAACAGUUUCUGUGAUUUAUAAAACACGGUAUUUCAACCUUGGCUGUCUGUCAGAAUCACCCAGAGGGCUUCAGAAAUUACAGAUGCCUAAGCCACUUACAGACCAAUUAAAUCAGAAGGGGUGUGGAAUGGAAGGAAGAGACCUGUAAUUUUCUUUUUAAUGUACCACAGGUGAUUUCGGUACACAGAACUCAGAAUUACUGGAUUUCAGCUUUUUUUUUUUUUAACUUGACAACACAGCUAUGUCUAAAAGAUUGAUUAACAUGAAUGUUAUAUUUCAUAUACUCAGAAAAUACAAAUUCCCAAGUGCUCUUGGUUUAUGAUAGACAAGGUGUUGAAUAGACAUGUUCCUCUUUGGCUAACAGAUUUUUCCUUCAUUUUAAAUCCUUUCCAAAAAUGGGGGCAGGGUAUGAUCAAGGGCACAAAUUAAUGCAUAAGUUUUUAUUUAUUUACUUAAUUAUUUAUUAUCUUUUUA